UGGGGAAUAUUGCACAAUGGGCGCAAGCCUGAUGCAGCCAUGCCGCGUGUAUGAAGAAGGCCUUCGGGUUGUAAAGUACUUUCAGCGGGGAGGAAGGGAGUAAAGUUAAUACCUUUGCUCAUUGACGUUACCCGCAGAAGAAGCACCGGCUAACUCCGUGCCAGCAGCCGCGGUAAUACGGAGGGUGCAAGCGUUAAUCGGAAUUACUGGGCGUAAAGCGCACGCAGGCGGUUUGUUAAGUCAGAUGUGAAAUCCCCGGGCUCAACCUGGGAACUGCAUCUGAGACUGGCAAGUCUGAGUCUCGUAGAGGGGGGUAGAAUUCCAGGUGUAGCGGUGAAAUGCGUAGAGAUCUGGAGGAAUACCGGUGGCGAAGGCGGCCCCCUGGGCGAAGACUGACGCUCAGGUGCGAAAGCGUGGGGAGCAAACAGG
rnacentral:rRNA from 1 species